rnacentral:rRNA from 1 species
GAUUCCGAUAACGAGCGAGAACCCUACCUCCAAAUAGUCUCCUGUCUCGCUGUAGGGCAAUCCAGUGGGUCUUGGUCUGCAGCUCUGCUCUGCCAAGUGCUGGUGAGCCUGAGAGUUCAGGGUGUGCUGAGUCGAUGCUGCUUGGAUUCUUGGGACAUUGUACGCUCACCAAGUGCAAGGAAGUUAGGGUCGACAGCAGGUCUGUGAUGCUCCUAGACGUCCUGGGCAGCACGCGCACCACAAUGGAACGGGCUUACUGUGUGCCUCUGUGGCCCUUCUCUCUUCCAGAGGGAAGGCCCUUGUCUGAAAAGGCUGGGUAAUCACUCAAACUGGUUGUUCGUGACUGGGAUUGCUGCUUGUAACUUUUGCCAUGAACGAGGAAUACCUAGUAAGUGCAGGUCAUCAGCCUGCACUGAUUAUGUCCCUGCCAUUUGUACACACCGCCCGUCGUUGCUAGCGAUGAUGUUAAGACAGAGGCUUUUGGUGGCAGGGCUCUCUGCCCCCCGUGAGGCCCCUCAGCUGAAUCUGAUCGAUGUCUUCAUGUUAGAGGAACCAAAAGUCGUAACAAGGUUGCUGUAAGUGAACCUGCAGAAGGAU